rnacentral:lncRNA from 1 species
GCGGUGGCGACAGAGGCAUUGGAGCAGCAGAGUGGCAGGCCUAGGGGCGGCAGUAGACCUAGGGGCGGCAGCUAGGGUUUUCUUUUCUGUUUAUUUUUUUCUUUUGUUGGGCUUUGGGCUAGGGUUUAGGUUUUGGGUUUGUGAUUGGGUAGUGGGCUUUUUUUUGUAAUGGACUAUUAAUCUCUUUGGACUUUUUAUUUAUUGUUUUUUUUGUUUUAUUUGUAAUUUGGGCCUAGGCUAAAAUUGACCUAUUACAAAAUGUUAACAUUUUUUAUUAUCACAUUGAACAUAGGUUAACAGUAUAUUAGCUCUUUUGGAGCCUUAAAUUGGUUUUGUACUAUCAAAGAUUAGUUUGUUUCAUUACAAAAUAAGAAAAAUACUUUUAUCCCUAAG